rnacentral:rRNA from 1 species
AGAGUUUGAUCCUGGCUUAGGAUGAACGCUAGCUACAGGCUUAACACAUGCAAGUCGAGGGGCAGCGAGAGGAAAGCUUGCUUCCUGUCGGCGACCGGCGCACGGGUGAGUAACGCGUAUCCAACUUCCCCUUAGUAGGGCAUAGCCCGGUGAAAAUCGGAUUAAUACCCUAUGUUAUUCGUCGAGGACAUCUGAAGUGAAUCAAAGAUUUAUCGCUAAGGGAUGGGGAUGCGUCUGAUUAGGUAGUCGGCGGGGUAACGGCCCACCGAGCCAUCGAUCAGUAGGGGUUCUGAGAGGAAGGUCCCCCACACUGGUACUGAGACACGGACCAGACUCCUACGGGAGGCAGCAGUGAGGAAUAUUGGUCAAUGGGCGCGAGCCUGAACCAGCCAAAAGUAGCGUGCAGGAUGACGGCCCUAUGGGUUGUAAACUGCUUUUAUACGGGGAUAAAGUGAGGGACGUGUCCCUUUUUGUAGGUACCGUAUGAAUAAGGACCGGCUAAUUCCGUGCCAGCCGCGGC